rnacentral:misc_RNA from 1 species
GAUGAAGAACGUAGCGAAAUGCGAUAAGUAAUGCGAAUUGCAGAAUUCUGUGAGUCAUCGAAUCUUUGAACGCACAUUGCGCCCUGUGGUAUUCCGCAGGGCAUGCCUGUUCGAGCGUCAUUUCAACCCUCAAGCCUCGCUUGGUGUUGGGCCCUGCCCGCCGCGGCCGGCCCUAAAGAUAGUGGCGGCGCCGCCUGGCCCUCAGCGUAGUACAGCUCUCGCUCCAGGGUCCGGCGGCAGCCUGCCAGAACCCCCCAACUCUGUGGUUGACCUCGGAUCAGGUAGGGAUACCCGCUGAACUUAAGCAUAUCAAUAAGCGGAGGA